rnacentral:rRNA from 1 species
CCUACGGGGGGCAGCAGUAGGGAAUAUUGGUCAAUGGACGAAAGUCUGAACCAGCCAUGCCGCGUGGAGGAUGAAGGUCCUCUGGAUUGUAAACUUCUUUUAUAUGGGACGAAAAAAGGCUUUUCUAAGUCGUCUGACGGUACCAUAUGAAUAAGCACCGGCUAACUCCGUGCCAGCAGCCGCGGUAAUACGGAGGGUGCAAGCGUUAUCCGGAUUCACUGGGUUUAAAGGGUGCGUAGGUGGGUUGGUAAGUCAGUGGUGAAAUCCCCGAGCUUAACUUGGGAACUGCCAUUGAUACUAUUAAUCUUGAAUACCGUGGAGGUCGGCGGAAUAUGUCAUGUAGCGGUGAAAUGCUUAGAUAUGACAUAGAACACCAAUUGCGAAGGCAGCUGGCUACACGAGUAUUGACACUGAGGCACGAAAGCGUGGGGAUCAAACAGGAUUAGAUACCCUUGUAGUC